rnacentral:rRNA from 1 species
ACUAAGCAUAUCAAUAAGCGGAGGAGAAAAAACUAACAAGGAUUCCCCUAGUAACGGCGAGUGAAGCGGGAUGAGCUCAAAUUUGAAAGCUGGCACCUUUGGUGUCCGCAUUGUAAUCUCGAGAAGUAGUUUCUGUGCCGGACCAUGUACAAGUUCCUUGGAAUAGGACAUCAGAGAGGGUGAGAAUCCCGUACUUGACAUGGACCCCGGUGCUUUGUGAUCUGCUCUCUAUGAGUCGAGUUGUUUGGGAAUGCAGCUCAAAAUGGGUGGUAAAUUCCAUCUAAAGCUAAAUAUUGGGGAGAGACCGAUAGCGAACAAGUACCGUGAGGGAAAGAUGAAAAGCACUUUGGAAAGAGAGUUAAACAGUACGUGAAAUUGUCAAAAGGGAAGCGCUUGAGGUUAGACAUGCAUGCAGUAUUCAACCUUUCUUUUGGGAUUGGCGUAUUUGCUGUUGUGCAGGCCAGCAUCGGUUUUGUCUGCUGGAUAAUAGUAGGAGAAAUGUGGCAUCUUCGGAUGUGUUAUAGUCUCUUAUUGGAUACAGUGGAUGGGACCGAGGACCGCAGUGUGCCGUAAGGCGGCUCUUCGGAGACCUUCGCACUUAGGAUGCUGGCGUAAUGGCCUUAAGCGGCCCGUCUUGAAACACGGACCAAGGAGUCUAACAUAUUUGCGAGUCUUUGGGUGGCAAACCCAUAGGCGUAAUGAAAGUGAAUGCAGGUGGGAUCCUUCUUUAUGGAGGUGCACCAUCGACCGAUCCGGAAUUUCUAGGAUGGAUUUGAGUACGAGCACAUAUGUUGGGACCCGAAAGAUGGUGAACUAUGCCUGAAUAGGGCGAAGCCAGAGGAAACUCUGGUGGAGGCUCGUAGCGAUUCUGACGUGCAAAUCGAUCGUCAAAUUUGGGUAUAGGGGCGAAAGACUAAUCGAACCAUCUAGUAGCUGGUUCCUGCGA